rnacentral:rRNA from 1 species
CAGUAGCCGCGGGAAUACGAAGGGUGCAAGCGUUAAUCGGAAUUACUGGGCGUAAAGCGUGCGUAGGCGGAGAGUUAAGUCUGUUGUGAAAUCCCCGGGCUCAACCUGGGAAUGGCAGUGGAUACUGGCUCGCUAGAGUGUGUCAGAGGAUGGUGGAAUUCCCGGUGUAGCGGUGAAAUGCGUAGAGAUCGGGAGGAACAUCAGUGGCGAAGGCGGCCAUCUGGGACAACACUGACGCUGAGGCACGAAAGCGUGGGGAGCAAACAGGAUUAGAUACCCGCGUAGUCCCUGUCUCUUAUAC